UACGUAGGGUGCGAGCGUUAAUCGGAAUUACUGGGCGUAAAGCGUGCGCAGGCGGUGAUGUAAGACAGGUGUGAAAUCCCCGGGCUUAACCUGGGAACUGCAUUUGUGACUGCAUCGCUGGAGUGCGGUAGAGGGGGAUGGAAUUCCGCGUGUAGCAGUGAAAUGCGUAGAUAUGCGGAGGAACACCGAUGGCGAAGGCAAUCCCCUGGACCUGUACUGACGCUCAUGCACGAAAGCGUGGGGAGCAAACAGG
rnacentral:rRNA from 1 species